AAAUUCGAUUCGGUGUGACAAGGCCCGGGAACGUAUUCACCGCGACGUGCUGAUCCGCGAUUACUAGCGAUUCCAACUUCAUGGAGUCGAGUUGCAGACUCCAAUCCGAACUGAGAGCGGCUUUUUGGGAUUGGCUCCCCCUCGCGGGUUUGCGACCCUUUGUACCGCCCAUUGUAGCACGUGUGUGGCCCUGGACAUAAGGGCCACGAUGACUUGACGUCGUCCCCACCUUCCUCCGGCUUAACGCCGGCAGUCCCCCUAGAGUGCCCAACUGAAUGGUGGCAACUAAGGACGAGGGUUGCGCUCGUUGCGGGACUUAACCCAAUACCUCACGGCACGAGCUGACGACAGCCAUGCAGCACCUGAACCGGCGGUCCCCGAAGGGAAAAUCCUAUUUCUAGGACGGUCCGCCGUUGUCUAGCCCAGGUAAGGUUCUUCGCGUUAAUCACUA
rnacentral:rRNA from 1 species